CGAGUGCAUCCUACCUCAUCACAGAACCAGCCGCCACCAACGUUCCUCUCUAUCGUACCAAUCCCCACCGAGCUCCGCUGAGCAUGGCCGCCGCCGCCGCCGCGCCUCCCUUACCUCUCCCUCAAUCCCUUCUGCUCCUCCACGAACUCCUGGUCGACCCGCCGUCUCCCCAUCUUCCGGACGAACUCGUGGCGUCGCCAUCGUCGGGAUGAAGCGCAUGCCGCCUCUCAUGCCCCCACCCAUCUCGCCGCUCGCAGUGCCGCCGCGUCGUGCCAUCGCAGGGAGGAGCGCGAUUGGUGGCCGGCAGAUGCAGAGCAGUCCGCUGCUCGCACUGCCGCCGCGCGCCAUGCUUCGUCAUCGUCGGAAGGUCGCGAGGAGGCGAGGUCUCGAGGAAGCGGUCGCGCGGCGGCUGCUGCGCUGGAGACAGUGGCGUGGAGGAGAUGGGGCAGGAAGCCGGCGCCGCGAAUAUGGGAGGAGGGGAACGAGUGGAUUUCUUCUGGGUUGACCACGCCCGAACUGUCCCCAUGGCUGAGCAGCAACAGGGUCGUGAGUGGAUUUCUUUUGUGUUGACCAGGCCCAAACUGUCCCCAUGGUUAUAGAGAGUGCUGAGGUGGCGCUACUCAUGAUCUUUCUCAGGUCACGUGAAUUCCACCCCAAUGCAACAUCAACGAAGUUUGCUUGCUAUAUCUACAGGCCAAGCAUUCUUUAUUGCUUUCCAUCGCUACAACUUACUGCUUCAUCAAGAGGAGGUGUGAGCAGAGAAUAUAUUCGUACAAAAUGGUCUACAAGGUUCACUGUUAUCGAAAACGUAUGGAAGAGAAACCAUGGGAAUUCAGUUGAUAUAUAUUCAACUUUAGUCAUUUGAAGUUUUAUUCUUCAAAUUCACUUCUACUCCGUAACUUGUAAAGAUUCCUAUUAUAUGUCUCACAUUACACAACGAACUGCAACGAAGUCCAGAGUUCAGAGAUGAUAUUUUGGCAUGAGCUCUAAAUUUGCUAUCUUGAAAUCUGAAUUAUGUCCUUUGUCCUUUCUGUCUUCUUCAUAUUUAACCUGGUUAUUUACUUAUUUUACAGUAAAUCAAAUGCAUUGGAGAGGGCAACGGUUGCUGGUCUGGGAGGACUCCAUCUUUUUUGUGUCAUUUUUUGGUGUCAUUUUUCUCUGAAGAUACUCCUCUUCUAUGAAUAUGUGAAGGUGCUUUUGUCCAUUUCUGGCUUCCUUUACAUGUCAAAAACUAGGUGGUGUGUUUUCAUGGGUUGGCAUAUGACCUAAAUAAGCCACUAAGCCACAAUUUUAGCUUACAUCAAAAAUAUCUUUUCCUUCCUCAAUGUAAAUCACACUUAAUUUGCUUGAAAGGAGCUGAACGAAUGGUAAUCUCAAAUUCUCAAUUAGGUAUGUGAGACUUCAGAUGAACAACUGAUGCCAUGAGUAUGAAAAAUCGGCCGUUUCUUUACUUUACAUCCCUCCUGAUUGUUUAGACAAUUUCUGGAACAAUGCUUGGGGUUAUAAUGUGAACAAGCCUCCAUGCGAUUAUUCUUUAAAUCUUGCUUGCCUUAUCUUGGAAAAUUCUUUGCCAAGGUGAGUGUCACUGCGAUUAAUUUGUUUUUAGUUUCAUGGCUUACAAGUUGUGCCUGGAUAUUAGUUGUUUUUUGUUGUUGUAGGAUUUUUUUAGGUGGUGUCCUCCCACCUCAGUUCCUGGGAGAAGCUGUGUGGUUGUUGGGCAUGUGUGAGAAAAGGUAAUCUAAGCGGUGUGCUCGCUAUCAAGUAAUGAACAUUCUUUAGUAAUCAUGUAGGUUAAUUGGUAGAACAUGGUGACUGUAGCUUACUCCGAGGAACAUGGAUGAUAUAAACAGCAAGUGAAAGACUCCGAUUUUCAUAGGAAGUAAUUAGAAGAUUGUUGUACUUACUUGGGAAAGGAAUUAAAUUGAGUAGAAAGAAACAAAAUAUCUUGAAGGGAACUCAAAUCUCUCACCACUACCUUUUUGGUGCUGCAGAAAUGAUUGUUUAUUUACAGAUACGGGAGAAUCCUUGAGGAGUUGAUGCAUAAGCUCUCCUAGAGAGCGGAAAGAAGAGUAUAUGAUGACCUAUAGACCUGAAUGGCAAGAUCUAGAUAUCAUUUUUCUCUUUCUGCAUCUCUACCUACGCUCCCACAUUUCCAGUACAAUUAAUUUGUGCCCCAUCUUGGGCUCCUGCCGGUAGGUCUGAGGUGUGUUGCUGGCCCCUGUCUCUGUUGCUUGAUGUUGCUGCUCACCGUCUGCGCAGGUUAUAUAAAUAAAAGAUGGAGACAUCCCCAAGGUCCCAACAGUACAGCCACGGCAUGUGAGCUUAGUUUGGGUGAACGAACACACUGGGAUCUUCAUUUUUGUAACGAAAAUAGGUCAUGUUUUGUGCGAUGUUUCUAUUAUUCAUUUCUACAACAUUUCCCGUUGGGCGCUGCUUAUGCUGAACGUUUCUGUGAUGGUUGGGUACUUGGGUCGCCGCUGGUUUCUGGCCUCCAUCACUCAAUCGGCAUAAGGUGUGUUAUCUUAGCAUUCCCUUGCCGUUUCUUGUUCUUCUCGGUUAUUUAGCUGAGUUUACUAAGCUAUGUUUUGUUUUUUCUCUGUCCAUGUACUCCAACGAAGAGAAAAAUCAGAGUUUGAACCCUAAAAAAAUUCCGCAGGUGUUGAUUAUUGUACUUUCUAUAUAUAUACAAAGAUGGAUGCCUUGUUUAGUUUCAGUAGCAAUUGGAAAAUUAGUAUGGGUUCAUGCUAGCAUAGAAAGUUAAGGUUCAGAAGUGUUAGCCAGUUCAUUGUUGAUGUUCAGAAAUCUUCUAUUAAGGUUCUCCUUGGGCUGUUUGGUGCAGUGAGUCCAGAAUUAAGUCUUGUCUUUCUACAAUCAUAAUUUCGAGGCACACCGUGAAUAAAAGUUGUAGUCCAUGUUCCAGGCUUUCCAUAUAAUAUUCAUUUGUGCAAUUUGGUUGGACACAUUUAAAUAGAUGUCAGUUUACUGAUCUAUUCAGAAUAUAGUUUCUUCUAUAGACAAUGACCUUUUUAACAUUCGAACUAAAUUUUGGGAUAAACAUGAAAAUUGUUUAGAAUGUUUUUCUGAUGUUAUGACUCAUUUUUUGCAAGAUCUCGUGUAGAAAAUUAAAUCUUACAAAAAGAUAAGUGAGCUGUCUUUGUUGGACAGAAUUGCAAUAGUGCUGAGUUAAGACAUCAUUGUCCAGAUUGUCAUUAGUGGAUGUGUUAGAAAUAUUGGGUUGGUGCUGAGAUGUAAACUAUCUCCAUGGUCAAGUUUUAAUUAUAACUUGUCUGGUCACUUAUGUUGAGAGGGCUGGAAAUUUGUUACUUAGUCUUGGGCGUAGGAAUGAUGCUGUAUGUCUAUGUUAUGAAGUCGUGAUUUUAUAUAUCUUUGGAUAAGAGGUAUGCUUCCAAUGACAUGGUUUUCACAUACCGUUUCUAUAAUCAUUCUAGCUAUUUUUUUACUCACAGUCGAAGAUGUCACAAUUGUUUGUGCAAAUUUGAAUGUGAGAUAUCAGACAAUGUUUCCAAGAUAAAAGAUUAACUAUAUGUUCUAAAUUAUGAUUUCAUGUGUUUUAUCCUAAUUUAUUUUGUACAUUGGUGUGAGUUUUUCGGGAUCGUGCGCCAAGAAGCAUGCCCUAAGUACCAGCAUCAUGCUGUUGGAGAAGACUAAUUUAUGAGCAAAGUUAUAUUAUACCUUUUCCAAGGUUUCUCCACCCCUCGUCUGCUCUCACUCAUUGUCAAGCUUCCUAGCAAACUACUUAUGUUUCCCUAUGUUUGUCUACGAUAUUUUAUAAUUAUGUUUUCAUAUUUGUGUAUAAUAUUUUCCUACUUUUGACAUUUAUAUGCAGUGUAUUUUUCUAAUUUACCACUGUUUAGUCCACUCAUAAUUUUCCCUGCAAAAUUAAAUGGAUAACUAUGCUCUUCAUUAAUUGUUUAAUUAUCAUCGAUGGGUUCAAAUGUAUACAAAAUUAUAAUUGGCACAAACUACACGGGAUCGUGCGCCAAGGCGCACAUCAAACUUAAACAGAUUUCAUUUUGUAGUGUAAAGUCAUUAAUUUGGACUGUAAGCAUUUACCUAUUUUCCUUCUCCUCUAUACACAUUCUAUAUUUUCCUUCUCUAUAUAAAAUGGCUGGGGAAUUUACCUCCUAUUUUUUGUGUUGUUGAAGACUUGCGGUGCCCAGUUACUAUUCUCACAGAACAUUCGUUUCUUCAGUUACAUGUACUCUGGAGAUCUGGCAAGAUCUUCAUUGACGAAGCCUAUCAUAACAAGCCAUUGCUUCCUCACAGUUUGAAGAAUACAGGAAAUUUAUGCUUCCUGAAUGCUACUUUGCAGGCUUUCUUUUCGUGAUUUCCUUUUGUUCAGAUUGUACAACUUGAAAUUUCAGAGUAUACUCAAAGUACUAAUACCUAAACGGAUCAGUUUCAGGUAUUGUUUGUGCUUAUUUCAUUGACUUCUGCUGAAUACUGCUUUUGUUUUAGGUUGGCCACCUGUGUUUGUUGAGCUCAUCUCUCAGUUGACGUAUUUGACGAGUCUGGUAUGGAGAAAGAUGAGAAAGUUGCUACUAUCUCUACAAAUGUAAUCAAUCUUGCCAUAUUCGAUCAAGCUCUGAGAAUUGUUAUUCCAGAUGUACCAGCUAGAACAUCUGCUUGGCCAAGGUAAGGGCCUGUUUGGCUUUGCUGGGUCAUUAGUUUGGAACUGAAAUCUGUGAAGUAUGAGUGUUAACUGUUUGGGGUGUGCCUGGUUUGUAAUUUGGUGGCUGUUGGUGGUGCCUUUUUCUGAAAUUGGUGCUUCUUGCUUGAAGGUUUGGUGUUUCGGCACUGGUUUUUGGCAUCGCUAUUUUAGCCUAUAGCAAUCUGAAACACUACAUUCCUCGAUGAUUUUUUCCUGCUCCCAUUCUAGCCUCCAUGGUCGGGUUCAUUCCUGCUCUUCUCAUAUUUUGGGCAUAUGAACAAACAACUUUAGUUUUACAGUCACCAUAUUGUGGUCGUAGGUAUUGUCAUGUUAAUGUGAGACUUUAAAAGAAAGGUGAUGAACUAAAUAAAAUUUGAAACUUUAUUGUGAGAGGAGUUGAAUAAAUUGUGGUAGUGACUUAGUGUAUAUGAGCAGUGACACAACUUAGAUCAUUAACAAUAUUGUAUAGACCCGGAUUUUGAUCAGACCAACUAGGAAAGAAGGGAAUCUGUUGUAUAUAUGUCAGCAAAGAAGCAUCCAGUGAUAUGUGCUAGGUAAACAUGCUUAAACGUCCUAGGAAUUGUUUUUCCCAAGAUGAUUGACCAUGUCAAAAUUGUGUUAUACAUGUGUCCUUGAGUACAUCUAGCAGAGGUGUACCACUUCAAUAUUCAAAGGUGAGAUUAUUUGCGGUAGAAACAGAGAUGAGUUUGUUCAGUUUUAACUCUAUGCAUUCAAUUUUGAUGAAAUAAUUACGAGAACUUAUUCCUAACAACUAAAUUAUAUUAUUACAGAUGUUUAAGGUUAUUUUCCUCACAACAAAAUUUCUCAACAACUUCUUUAUUCGGUGAAAUGCAACCAAGGCCGGAGGGACGUGUUCAAUGCCCAGUGGCUAUUUGAGAAAACAAAGGCACUAGAUGCUCCUUUGCUUUGCUUUGCUUUGCUUUGUGUUUUUCCAUAUAUUUCUGAUGUUUUUCCUUGAUGUAUCCACGGUUCUUUGAUGCUUACUAGGUAAGGUAUUGUCUUUAGUGCAUGCAUUAACCAAGAACACCAUAUUAAAGCUUGGGACAUCUUAAUUCAGACCUUCUCUGAAGAUGUUUUUCUUUGAUUUAUCGUGUAUUUUCUAGAACAUAUGAUCCUCCACCAGUUAUAUACACGUUACUCUAAUUUGUCGUAAUCUGCAUGUUUUCCUGAUUCCUCAGUGUCAGUAGCUUGCAUCUCUUCUUUUCUUAUACAUGCAUCUCUUCUUUUCCUAUAUCAAAUUGCUAGGAUAAUUUAUGAACUUCAAAUAUAAUAACUCAACAGUACAAGUCGAUAUAUGUUGCUUGUAUUUCUCCUUUUUAUGUGCUGAUGGUAAUUAUUGUCUACUGCUUGUGUGUUCAAUUGUGGAUCUUCUCUCUGUUUGGAGAGAUUCUCCAUGGAUUCUUUGUCCUUGCCUGUUGGUUUCCCAAAUUGUUCUUAGUAUGAAUGCAUUGUUUCCUUCGAUGAGAUAAAUUCAUUUUGUGUUAGCACAAUGGCUGGUUUUAAGGUAAUCUCGGUAUACAAGUUGUACGGAAAUUUAUUAUCUUCUCUUUAUUGUCAAAUUGCUUAUCCGAUUACAAUACUCUAUUGUAUCAAACGUGAGCUAAUCUUCUCUUAAAGUUUCUUUGAUUUGGCUCACAUUUAACUGUUGGUUGAUUAUCUUUUCAUUUGCAGCGGUGCUAAGUUUUGGUGGUGCAAGUGCUUAUUAAAUCUACGUUUUCUCUAUAGUGGCGUGGCCUCUGAAAACCAUGACACGAAAACACCCAUAAGCAGCUUAUGUAGAUGUUGUUUUUGUUCGUACUCGAACCAUCGAGUGUUAGUUACUAUAAUAAUAUUAUUCUAUUUCCCUUAUUGUAUAUAAACAUUUACUACUUUGUUCA